AGAGUUUGAUCCUGGCUCAGGAUGAACGCUAGCGACAGGCUUAACACAUGCAAGUCGAGGGGCAUCAUGAGGUAGCAAUACCUUGAUGGCGACCGGCGCACGGGUGAGUAACGCGUAUGCAACCUGCCUGAUACCGGGGUAUAGCCCAUGGAAACGUGGAUUAACACCCCAUAGUACUUUUAUCCUGCAUGGGAUGUGAGUUAAAUGUUUAAGGUAUCGGAUGGGCAUGCGUCCUAUUAGUUAGUUGGCGGGGUAACAGCCCACCAAGACGAUGAUAGGUAGGGGUUCUGAGAGGAAGGUCCCCCACAUUGGAACUGAGACACGGUCCAAACUCCUACGGGAGGCAGCAGUGAGGAAUAUUGGUCAAUGGACGAGAGUCUGAACCAGCCAAGUCGCGUGAGGGAAGACUGCCCUAUGGGUUGUAAACCUCUUUUAUAAGGGAAGAAUAAGUUCUACGUGUAGAAUGAUGCCUGUACCUUAUGAAUAAGCAUCGGCUAACUCCGUGCCAGCAGCCGCGGUAAUACGGAGGAUGCGAGCGUUAUCCGGAUUUAUUGGGUUUAAAGGGUGCGUAGGCGGUUUAUUAAGUUAGUGGUUAAAUAUUUGAGCUAAACUCAAUUGUGCCAUUAAUACUGGUAAACUGGAGUACAGACGAGGUAGGCGGAAUAAGUUAAGUAGCGGUGAAAUGCAUAGAUAUAACUUAGAACUCCGAUAGCGAAGGCAGCUUACCAGACUGAAACUGACGCUGAUGCACGAGAGCGUGGGUAGCGAACAGGAUUAGAUACCCUGGUAGUCCACGCCGUAAACGAUGCUCACUGGUUCUGUGCGAUAUAUUGUACGGGAUUAAGCGAAAGUAUUAAGUGAGCCACCUGGGGAGUACGUCGGCAACGAUGAAACUCAAAGGAAUUGACGGGGGCCCGCACAAGCGGAGGAACAUGUG
rnacentral:rRNA from 1 species